UGCCUCUCCUUCUUUGAAUGAUGAUAUUCCAUAAAUGGUCAAGCAUAUGCUGAGAAUCACUACAAGUCCUGCUGCUGCCAAUGAACCAGCUCCUCCUGCAUUAACAGUUAGCGGUGUCAAAUGAACGGGUUAGGCUGAAUUUGAGCAGGUUAAAAUGGGUUGAGUUAAUAAAGGGAACAAUCAUUAACCUGUCUAAACUUGGACAGGGUGUUUUUCAUGGACAUUCAGCUGAACUCUGACAUCUUUGACACGGAGCUUACAUAUAUAUAUUUAAAGUAUUACUAGAUUUUUAACAAAUAUUAAAUUUUGAGCCGAUACUUUUUGGAGUACAAUGAGUUCAUCGUUAAGAAUAUAAAUGCAUGAAGUUAAAAUUUUGAAAUGGACUUUACCUGCAUAUUCAGUAUUUCUUAAUGGACCAGCCUUUACAAAUGGGCCAACUAGUAGGAAUCCAUGGGCCAGGCCCACCUCUACUCCUCGGAGAAGUGGGUUCACUGCGGUCCGGUAGGCCGGUAAGUUGGACAAGUACCAAGCAAUCAAUGGGCUUGAGGUCACUGGAGUUUCAAGACUUCCAAUGAAAGGGUCACCAUUCAGAGGCUGAAUCACUUGGUAAGUAGGCUGCAUAACCAAAAAAAAGGAAAAAAAGAAGAAGAUGAAUUAAAGGAGGUUUGUUGAGAAUUAUUGACAUCCAAUAAACAAAAAGUGGGCAGGGCUACAUGGUUCAAAGAUGUUUAAUCGAAUUGCUUUUGUCGGAAAAUUAUAUCGUGUAUAUAGAUCACAAUUUUUUUUAGAAAACAUGUAUAAAAAUUGUUGAAUCGUUUUGAAAUAAGAUAUAAACUUCCAGCAUAACGGGAACUGUAAACCAAAAUAGUAGUUGUUUUAGAUCACCCAUAAACUACGAGGGGUUCAUGUAGCCUAUGUUGGAUUAGUCACUUUCUAGGCCGAGGCAAAAGGUUGAGAAUAACUCAUUGUUGACUAACAUUUAUGAAUUAUACUUACGAAUCAAGAAAAGACAAUGAGCGCACAAAGCAUCAGCGAUCACGCAGGAUCGGGGAAGGACUGUACCUCAGAAGAUGUAAUUUAGGUAGUCUAUCUUGAUACAAACAUCAAUGGCUAGCUUCGUGCACACUAGAGAAUAUAAUUUGGCAUUUAUAAAUAGAAUUUUUGUAUUUUUCUCUAUCUCCCGGAGAAAAGGAGAUUUGAGGUGACUAGCUUAGUAACUUAUUCAAUUGAAGUUUGUUAAACUUUGGCUCUGCUACCUCUGCCAAGAAAAAGUACUACCAUCGUUUCAAUCUGAAUGACACACUUUUUUAUUAGCCCGUUCCAAAAAAUAGUAUAUUUUUAUAUUUAAAAAUAAUUUAACUUUAAGCUUUGCAUUCUACCCAUUUUACUCAUGAAAAACUUUUAUAGCCACAUAAAUAUUAUGGCCCCACUAAGCUUUUUUCCUUUAAGCUUUUAGUACCACAUGUUUCAAAAGUCUAGGUAUUUUUUUCUUAAACUCUAUGCCAAAUCAAACUAAAAGGGAAGCUCGGUACACUACGAUCUCGCUAUGCGUGAGGUCCAGUGAAGGGUCAGACCGCAAGAAUUUAUUGUACGCAAUCUUACUCUGCAUUUCUAUAAAGGGUUGUUUUCACGGCUUGAACUUGUGAUCUCAUGACACGUGACAACAAAUUUACUAGUUACGCCAGUGCCACGUCAAACUACAUCAUCCAAAUUAAAACGGAUGGCGUAUUACUAGUGAAAUUCAAGAACAUUACAAGACUGAAGAGAAGUGAAUUGGUAUCUUACUUUGUCUGUUUGGACAGCCUUGAUGGUGAAACAAGAUUUUCUAGUUGAAGGAAAGAUUUUAAAAGGAGCACCAGAAAUGCCUUUGGGAGUAACAAGUCCACUGCCUCUUGUUAAAGAAGAAGCAAAUUUGCUCUUGAGCUGGCUGGCCAUUGUGGUGGAAACAGCAGUAGCCAUUUUGGAAAGUUUUGAUGGUCACUGUUUUUUGGUCAGAUAGGAAAUAGUAUAACAAAAAGAUUUAAACUAGUAAUACAGUUGGAUGUAUCAUGUGACUGAUAAACAAAGUCUUUUGAUUUGUGGUUCUGAGGGUUGAUUUAUUCUUACGUGGGAGCUUGUCAUUGGUCAUAUAUAUAACGUUAUCCCUUGUCUCAACUGCAUUGGUUAUGAAUGGAUAGCUAACUCCGGGAGAUAUAUACGGUGUUUAUAUUAACUUUAAGAAUCUCAAAUUAAAACGAGAAUAUAUAUUAUUUAAGCAUUGACUUUAGGAUAAAAGUAUAUCAAGAUACAAGCUAGCAUUAAUUGAUUUGGUGUAAAAAACAGGUCCAAGUCCUUUUUUUUGUGUGCGCGUGCGCUUCAAUUUGUUAAAAGGUCGUGGUUUAACUGCAAUAUCAUAAUUAAUUAAGUUAGAUGUCUAUUCCCCUCCAUUAACUCUUAAAAAGCAGGAGUACUUAGUAAUCUGUACGAACUCUAUGUAUUGGGCAAAAUAAAUAUUACACGUGCCAUUAAUUAUGUAACUGAUAUGGCAAGAUAUGUGAAUCACUAGAAAAACGACAACGGGUAAAGAGUAUUUGAAAAGAUGUGAGUUUUAGGCUCCGUUUGGCCGUAAGUUUUGUCAAAAUAAAUUUAAGAUUUAUUUUUAAAACUCGUGUUUGGCCAUAAAUUUUACUCAUAUUUUGGCUAAAUCCCAAAUCGCAAAUUUCAAAUCUCAAAUCAGCUAUUGAGCCGAAUUUGGAUCAAAAUUCCCAAAACUUGGGAAUUAUAUACAUGUUUUUCCAAAAUAAAGUUGGAAAAUAUGUUUUGAAAACGUAUGUCCAAACACAUUUUCAUGUUCAAACCAAACUUCAUCCAAAUCAGAUUUUUCAAAAUAAAUUUGAAAUCUAUGGCCAAAUGCUAGCUUAGUAAGUAGUACGAGCAAAACGUCUAAAAGACAAGAAGAAACGGUUGCUCGAGUCUCUUUAGUGAUUUAAAGAAGCACCAGUGGAAUGAACCAAAACCAUAAAAAGGAUAGAUUCUUUGAUUUUCAAUUAAUGAACAUGAAUGGUUACAAAUGUUACAAAAUGAAAUAGUUACGAUUACCAAUUAUAACGUUUCAUUAAUAUCAUUAAUGCUCAUAAUGACUCGAUAUAAAGGGAAAAAAUGUUGUACUUAGAGAUAACUAUAUAAGGAACAGAAAUGUCAUAUGUAUGGAUACGUUUAGAUUAUUAUUAAAAUAUAAUUAUUUAUUUUUGCUUUAUAUGGAUUGCUCUGCUAUUCUAAUUUCCUUUCUUACUACAAGAAUAUUGAUUUUCUUGAUUAUCCGUAAUCCGAGUACUUAAAUAGGCUUUGACCAAAAUCUUAUUUUUUGGUUAAAAAAAUUGGUUCCAUAAUCGAAAUCUAAUAAUCUUUUCACUUUUCAGAUUCAUUUUUCUGUCAAGAAAUCACGUCGAACGUUAAGGACAACAACCAACAAAAUCAGCAACAUCAGUUGAACCAACAAAAUCAACAAGGGGAUGGAACUCCAGUCCUUUCACCACGAAACUCUCCUCGACAAUCCCAAGAAGGGACACCCGACAGAACUGAAUCACAUGUGAAUGACCAACAUGAGGAUGAUCAAGCCAUUGAUGAAGCAUUAAAGCAAUUGAUCGCAGAAUAGGUCAACAACGCUCCUCAAGCUUUUGUUAGUGGGUUGCCAACUGUACCACCGACUCCACUUCCAAAUAACAUCGCAACCAUAGAAAAUUCACGCUCGGGACUUGCCAAUUCGGGUAGUGGAGGUACUCCCAGCGAAUCUCGCGAUGGAAGGUCAUGUAUUCCAAUUAAUUCUGAUUUACAAAGUUUAUUACUAACUUUGCAGAAACAACUUAAGGAGUAGAAUGAUCGCAUAGAGUAGAUACCUGGUGUUCCGUCUAUAAUCAAAGGAGUGAACAUGGAUAAAUAUUCUCAACAACCUUGGAAGCGAAGUGCCGCUCCUUUGCCUAUUCUAAAAAAGUUCAAGAUGCCCGAUAUUCCAAAGUAUGACGGGACAACCGAUCCACGAGACCAUAUAAUCGCAUUUACAACUAGCGUGAAAGGAAAAAAUUUGACUAAGCAAGAGACUGAAUCAGUGCUGGUCAAAAGAUUCAGUGAAAUACUCACAAAUGGAGCACUAACAUGGUAUUCUCUUUUACCUGAAAACUCUAUUGAUUCUUUUGCCGAGCUUGCAAAUUCAUUUAUAAAAGCACACUCGGGAGCUCAGAAAGUUGAGAAGAGGAUAGAAGACAUCUUCAAAAUAAAAUAAGGAGAUAUGGAAUUACUCAGGGAAUUCGUGGAUAGAUUCCAACGUGAAAGAAUAAUGCUACCACGCAUACCUGACAAUUGGGCUGCUAUGGCCUUUUCAAGUAAUUUAAAUGAGAAGAGCUCAGAAGCCACGAGGAAACUCAAAGAAAGCUUACGAGAAUUCCCUGCAACAACUUGGAAUGAUGUUUAUAACCAAUAUAAAACGAAGCUGCGUAUAGAAGAAGAUACUAUCACUCAGCCCCGGUGAGAUCAAAGAGUAAGUUCGAGGCAACCAAAAACUGAAAAUAAGGUCCGGUAAGAACAACUACGAACCUUACGUAGGACCAGCAGGAAGGGAUUAACGUUCAAAAUAAGAGAAUCUGAGGUACGAUCCCAGAAUAAAGGACAGAGAUUCGGGUUAGCCUCCCAGGUUUGGAAAGAAGCGAGACACACGAGAUCGCGGGAUAACGAUAGAAGUUCAAAAGCGAAGAUUGGUGGUUAUAGUAUUAAUGUUAGCACAUCUAAGUUGGUAGCUGUUUUAAGAAGUAUAGGAGAUAAGGUGCGGUGGCUAAAGAAAAUGAGGUCGGACUCAAAUAGAAGAAACCCUGAUUUCUGGCGCGAGUUUCAUAAUGAUCAUGGUCACAAAAUAACAUAUUGCAGAUUGCUACAAGAUGAAGUAGAGAACUUAUUAAAAUAAGGCUACUUAACUGAUUUGUUUAAUGAGAAGGGUAAGUAAUCAUACAUGAAGAAUAGACAGGAGCCACCAAAACCUCUAUCACCAAAAAUAACAGUUAAUUAAUGCCAUAAGUGGAGGGUAUGAGAUCAAUGGCAUGACGUAUACGGCUGCAAAGAAGGUGUCAAAAAUCAUAAUCACCCACGGGAAAUGAGUUCGCCAAGUUUUGGAAGAAGACAAUAUGAUAUUUGAUGAUGCCGACGCAGAUGGCGUGUUGAUCUCACACAAUGAUACACUGGUAAUAUCUUUACUUGUACAUAAUACUAAUGUAAAAUGAGUUUUGGAUGAUCCAGGUAGCUCUAUAAAUAUUAUUCUUCUAAGAGUGGUAAAUAGGAUGCAAGUUGAUGACAAAUUGGUACCCAAAGCAGUACCUUAUCUGGAUUUGACAAUUCAAGCGUUGUCAAAAAAGGAAAAUAAUACUCAUCACAUUCGCAGAAGGAGUAGUUAAAGAUACGAAAUUUCAAGUGAUAGAUAUGGAUAUGAAGUAUAAUAUAAUCAUAGGUAGACCUUGGAUUCAUGAGAUGGAUGUUGUUUCAUCUACCUUGCAUCAGGUUAUCAAGUUCCCUUCGUAAUAGGGAAUAAGAUAAAUACACGGUGAUCAACAGGCUUAUCAAAGCUUUAAUUCAGUGGCAAAUUCAAGCGCAAAAAGUGACGUUGUAGGUGAAAAAUAGCAAUUAUAAAAUUCAAUUGAGGGUUUAGCAACACAAAUUGCAACUGCAGAUUACAAUGAAUGUAGACUCAAGGGACUGAUAAUAUCCAAGAGCCAGAAGAGAAUGAAAACAUCAAAUAAACAAUUGAAGAAUUGGAAGCUGUGGUGCUGUUUAUACAUUGGUCAGAUAGAAAAGUUUACAUUGGAACCAACCUUAGCCCAGAGAUGAAAAGUAAAUUCAUUGAAAUUUUUAAAGCUAACACAUAUUGUUAAUUGCUAAACUUCCUUGGCCUUUCCUUUCAAUUGUUCGGUGUAUAUGCAGUCUUGGGGGAUCUGGUAGCAUUCUCGGGAUGUGCGUUGCUAUCCCCGGAUGUAGAAUACUCCAGGGGGUGGGAAAUUUUAUGACUUGGUACAAACUAGAGGGGACGACUUUCAUGGUGUAUAUCCAUGAUCACCCUAUGAUGGCACUGUACGUCGUAUCCUCAUCCAUGAUGUGGAACAUGGUCUCCAAGGUGACGCCGACGGCCAGAACGGCAGUGCGACUCUCCAGAUGUCCUCUCAACUACAUUGUUAAAACCUAUUAGCGUGAUGCAACGUGGCACUAUCUUUUCCUAGAGCUUCACUUGGGUUAGAACUCGAGGAUGGAUGAUGCACGCUCUACUUCCAUCAUCGACCAUAAAACGUCUUACAUCAGUAUCAAAAACACGUAAAGUAAUGACAAGAGUGUCAUAGUGAGGGAAGACCAAACCGUGGGUUUCUAACUUAUCGAACAUGAUACUUUCUUCGAGUUCAUCAUACAAUUUAUGGGUGACCGACCGCUUGAGUUUUUAGGCGGUGGUGAACUUCAGAUUAUUGAUAAAUGCGCCAUCGCCUCCUCCGAUAAUCAUUUGAAUGGUCUGAACUAGGGAUGGUAGUUUGGGCGGCCCCUGGUGUUAUUAUCUCCCUCGGGUGAAGUUGGCCUUCCCAUGAUCGCUCAUCAGCUCUUUCAGGUGUCCUUUGUGAAGCAUGUUCAAGACCUCUUAUGUAAGGGCGAUGAAAUCCUCGGUUCUAUGGACUCGUUCCUAGUGGAACUCGCAGAGGUCAUUUGACUUUCUAGUGCUCGUGACAGAUUUCAUCUUGUGUGGCCAUUUUACCAUUAGACCAAGCUUUUUUUGUGCGUAGACUAUAUCUGGGGAAAACACAAAAAUUGUGAGUUGAUAAUAAGGGGGCAUACCUCUUUCAUUUCGGUGAAUUCCCGUUCAUAGCCUAGAUGGGCCUUCAUCGUGGCGUUAAGGCGGCAUGAGGGUGCCUCUGACAUAAGGCCGAUGUCUUUCUCAAUUAGGUCGAGAUCCUGCUUGAUCCCUCUUACUAUCAUUUCUCCGAUCUUUCCUGGACUCUAUUUGGACCGAAGUUAGACAUUGAGAUCAUCUUCGAUGGUUCUUACCUUGGCAAAGUAGGCGUUGUGUAUCUCGUCCCAAGUAGUUGAAGGGUAUUUCAUGAGUGGGCUCAGCAAUUCUUUUGUUGCCCGCGACCCACUUCUACUUAUCCCAUUCUGGAAUGAGGCUACCGUCAUUCCUUCAGAUACAUUUAGAAGGAUCAUUUUUACACGAUUGAACGAGGCGAGGAAGUCCCUAAGCCCUUCGCCAAGUGAUUGCUUAAUGGUGAAUAUGUCGUUCACCCUCGCCUCUAAUCUUUUGCCCCGGCAUGGGCGGUGAAGAACUUUUCAGCUAUUUUCUCGUACGUUUCUAUAGAGCGCGCAGGUCACUGCGAGUACCAAGUCAGUGAUCUGCAGGUUAAGGUCUCUCCAAAUUUCUUCAGCAAUAUGUAUGAUACGUGUUCUUUACUGAGGUUGUUGCCUUUACUGCAGUGACAUAGUGGGUUACAUGAUCCUCAGGGUCCGUCGUGCCGUCAUAUAUUUUCAAUUAUGGCGGUAUUUUGAAAAGUUUUGGUAUGGCGUGUGGUGCAGCCUCGUCGCUAUAUGGUUGCUCGAUAAUCCAACCGACGUCUUUUUUUGGCAGAAGUUUGGGGGCACCUAGUAUUUUGUCUACCUUUUCUUAGUGCUCUUUUACUUGGUGAUGGAGUAUUUUGUUCUCGUUCUCCAUAUCCUCCAUUUUCCUCAAAAUGGUUGUGAGGGUGUCAUUACCUACAUCACUAUCAUUCUGAGUAAUACCUGAUAUGUGGGGGGAUUAAAGCAAUUGAUCGCAGAAUAGGUCANNNNNNNNNNNNNNNNNNNNNNNNNNNNNNNNNNNNNNNNNNNNNNNNNNNNNNNNNNNNNNNNGGGGGGGGGGGGGGGGAGCUGAUGCGACACCAGCUCUUGUUUCUUCCUUAUUCGACCUCCGAGUGAGCUUGUCGAGGAAGUCGGUUAACGUAUUUGUUAACCAUGACUCAAGUAACGUUUUCAUUGCUUGUGGUGUUUCUUCUGUCGGGGAUGCAGAGGCACCUUUUCCGUGUGAGGUCGUGACGUUGUCGGGAGGUGGAGGCGAGUUGUUUUGCCUGGAAAAGUUGUUUGGUGUUAUGUCUUCACCCUUUGUUUCGUUUAUUUCGUUAAUGGUGUUGAGGAGAUUGGUGGUGAGAUCAGCUAUCGCAUUUCUCUUUUCUCCCAUUGCCUGCAUAUCAGAUUUUUGCAAACAAGGAAAUACAAGAUUUUGCAAGGCUUUGUGCGUUAUUUUUAUUAGAUCUAGAAGAAACUAAAACUUUAACUAGAAAGUCCCACAGACGGCGCCAAAUUAUUUGACCAAAUAGUGUUAAGCCUUUUAGCUAAACUAAUUAUAUAAAAUGAUGAUGGGUAAAUUCUAAUUAAAUAUAAUAAGUCUUAGAUCCAAGAUUGAUGGAUAUCAAUGAUAUAAAAAUUGCAUUCAAGGUUAUUAAAUAUCAAAUGUGUGUUUAAUUAUAUUGUUAUGAAUGAAUGAGAGGACAGUGACAAGCAAUAAAUAUGAUAAAUGACAGUAAAGGUAAAUAAAGAGUAUGAUUCACCGAAAUAUUCAAUGAGGUGAAUGAUUCUCCCUCUAACAGUGAUUUAAGGUAGCCAAAUGUGGGAAUAUAGAGAAUUUUAUAGAUCUGAUGUAAGAAAUGUUAGGACAAACAACAACUUGAAUCUUGUGCAAAUAUAUUGUUUAUGGUUACUUGAUAGUCAACUUUUCUAUAGAGAGCUUAUCAUAUAGAAUAUUACUUCUCUCUUUUUUUCUCUCUAUCUUCCUACUUAUAUGAGACAUAUUCCUUAUCUACUGAAAGUACAAGUGAGAGAAUAUUUUGCAGAAUAUUUCUUUAAAAUAUCUUAUUGUUAAACUAGCUGUUUUGGCCGAUUUGAAUGCUCGACUUGACCUUAGCUGCUCGGCUCGCCAAUGUUACUUCUUAAGCAUGACCUCAGCCUAAUUGAUUCUUGAUUGCCCUCUUUCAAGCGAGGUCCCUUGAUCAGAUUUUGACCCAUACAUUUAUGAUGAUACUAUUAUUCUUAUGAUAUCUGUUGGUGGUACUAAUAUUGUCUCUUUUCGCCUUCUUGAGCCGAAGGUCUUCCGGAAACAGUCUCUCUACUCCCUCGGGGUAGGCGUAAGAUCUGCAUACACACUACCUCCUCAAACCCCACUAGUGAAAUUUUACUGAAUUGUUGUUGUAUACCAACAUCGCUAUCACUUUAGCUAAUUUAACUGAUUAUAACACGUGGUGUGCUAUUAUUCUAGAAUAUUCCCCCAUGAAUAUUAUUAUAAAUAGACUUUAAACAACUUAAUUGAGUAAAUAUAGACCACUUUACAUGAGAUUUUGAUGUUAAGGCGUAGAAAAUUAGUUUAAUAAAACCUAUGAGAUCCUUGUAUAAUCAUUCUAUUUUCUAUUCAAAUCUUAACAAGUUAUUUUGUACCUAUUUUUCUUUCUUGACUCGUUAAUGGAAAACAUCAAGUAACGUAUUUAAAAUAAUAUCGAGUCUAGAGCUUUCUCGUGUAAAAGAAACCAAUUCGAAAAUAACACCUUGAAAUGAUCGCUUUAAAUUAUUCAUUUAUAAUUACAAUAGCAUUUUCUACGAAUAUGCAAUUUUUUUUAAGAUGUGGGUUUAACUUCUAUACAUUACUGACUAUGCAACUAUCAUGCUAUUUAAAAGGAAAUUAAAAAUAACUACAAUCUAUGAUGAAUGAAAUUAGUAACUUGAAAGAUAAGACUAGUAACUCACUACAAACAUGUUAAAUUAUACUGAUAAUAUAAAAAUUCAUUACACUCCACGAAGAGCUCAUAUGUUCAAUAUACAAUUUCCAUUAAUUCAAUAUUCAAAAUAGUUACAUCAAUUGCAGAAUUUCAAAAAUUUAUUUAACGUAGUAAGGAAGAUCAAGGACAUAAAGGAGGAAAUAAGCCCAAGUGACACCAGAAAUUCCACCAAAAAAGAAACCACCUGUGAACUUAGACCAUCCCUCUGCUGUUUGCAAUUGGUCUGGCACCUUUUUCCUCCCUGUCAAUGUCAAUGCUGGUGCUGUUGAUGCCUCUCCUUCUUUGAAUGAUGAUAUUCCAUAAAUGGUCAAGCAUAUGCUGAGAAUCACUACAAGUCCUGCUGCUGCCAAUGAACCAGCUCCUCCUGCAUUAACAGUUAGCGGUGUCAAAUGAACGGGUUAGGCUGAAUUUGAGCAGGUUAAAAUGGGUUGAGUUAAUAAAGGGAACAAUCAUUAACCUGUCUAAACUUGGACAGGGUGUUUNNNNNNNNNNNNUUGGGGGGGGGGGGGGUCAUAUUUUCAUGGACAUUCAGCUGAACUCUGACAUCUUUGACACGGAGCUUACAUAUAUAUAUUUAAAGUAUUACUAGAUUUUUAACAAAUAUUAAAUUUUGAGCCGAUACUUUUUGGAGUACAAUGAGUUCAUCGUUAAGAAUAUAAAUGCAUGAAGUUAAAAUUUUGAAAUGGACUUUACCUGCAUAUUCAGUAUUUCUUAAUGGACCAGCCUUUACAAAUGGGCCAACUAGUAGGAAUCCAUGGGCCAGGCCCACCUCUACUCCUCGGAGAAGUGGGUUCACUGCGGUCCGGUAGGCCGGUAAGUUGGAUAGGUACCAAGCAAUCAAUGGGCUUGAGGUCACUGGAGUUUCAAGACUUCCAAUGAAAGGGUCACCAUUCAAGGGCUGAAUCACUUGGUAAGUGGGCUGCAUAACCAAGAAAGAAAAAAAAAAUUAAUUUAAAUAGCUUCUCACCUAACUGUUUAAACUAAAAGUAGCCAUUAUU
rnacentral:lncRNA from 1 species